UUAAGCGACUAAGCGUACACGGUGGAUGCCCUGGCAGUCAGAGGCGAUGAAGGACGUGCUAAUCUGCGAAAAGCGUCGGUAAGGUGAUAUGAACCGUUAUAACCGGCGAUGUCCGAAUGGGGAAACCCAGUGCAAUUCGUUGCACUAUCGUUAACUGAAUACAUAGGUUAACGAGGCGAACCGGGGGAACUGAAACAUCUAAGUACCCCGAGGAAAAGAAAUCAACCGAGAUUCCCCCAGUAGCGGCGAGCGAACGGGGAGCAGCCCAGAGUCUGAAUCAGCUUGUGUGUUAGUGGAACGGUCUGGAAAGUCCGACGGUACAGGGUGAUAGUCCCGUACACCAAAAUGCACAGGUUGUGAACUCGAAGAGUAGGGCGGGACACGUGGUAUCCUGUCUGAAUAUGGGGGGACCAUCCUCCAAGGCUAAAUACUCCUGACUGACCGAUAGUGAACCAGUACCGUGAGGGAAAGGCGAAAAGAACCCCGGCGAGGGGAGUGAAAAAGAACCUGAAACCGUGUACGUACAAGCAGUGGGAGCACCUUCGGGUGUGACUGCGUACCUUUUGUAUAAUGGGUCAGCGACUUAUAUUCUGUAGCAAGGUUAACCGUAUAGGGGAGCCGCAGGGAAACCGAGUCUUAACUGGGCGUUAAGUUGCAGGGUAUAGACCCGAAACCCGGUGAUCUAGCCAUGGGCAGGUUGAAGGUUGGGUAACACUAACUGGAGGACCGAACCGACUAAUGUUGAAAAAUUAGCGGAUGACUUGUGGCUGGGGGUGAAAGGCCAAUCAAACCGGGAGAUAGCUGGUUCUCCCCGAAAGCUAUUUAGGUAGCGCCUCGUGAACUCAUCUUCGGGGGUAGAGCACUGUUUCGGCUAGGGGGUCAUCCCGACUUACCAACCCGAUGCAAACUACGAAUACCGAAGAAUGUUAUCACGGGAGACACACGGCGGGUGCUAACGUCCGUCGUGAAGAGGGAAACAACCCAGACCGCCAGCUAAGGUCCCAAAGUCAUGGUUAAGUGGGAAACGAUGUGGGAAGGCACAGACAGCCAGGAUGUUGGCUUAGAAGCAGCCAUCAUUUAAAGAAAGCGUAAUAGCUCACUGGUCGAGUCGGCCUGCGCGGAAGAUGUAACGGGGCUAAACCAUGCACCGAAGCUGCGGCAGCGACACUAUGUGUUGUUGGGUAGGGGAGCGUUCUGUAAGCCUGCGAAGGUGUGCUGUGAGGCAUGCUGGAGGUAUCAGAAGUGCGAAUGCUGACAUAAGUAACGAUAAAGCGGGUGAAAAGCCCGCUCGCCGGAAGACCAAGGGUUCCUGUCCAACGUUAAUCGGGGCAGGGUGAGUCGACCCCUAAGGCGAGGCCGAAAGGCGUAGUCGAUGGGAAACAGGUUAAUAUUCCUGUACUUGGUGUUACUGCGAAGGGGGGACGGAGAAGGCUAUGUUAGCCGGGCGACGGUUGUCCCGGUUUAAGCAUGUAGGCUGGUUAUCCAGGCAAAUCCGGAUAAUCAAGGCUGAGGUGUGAUGACGAGGCACUACGGUGCUGAAGUAACAAAUGCCCUGCUUCCAGGAAAAGCCUCUAAGCAUCAGGUAACAUCAAAUCGUACCCCAAACCGACACAGGUGGUCAGGUAGAGAAUACCAAGGCGCUUGAGAGAACUCGGGUGAAGGAACUAGGCAAAAUGGUGCCGUAACUUCGGGAGAAGGCACGCUGGUGUGUAGGUGAAGUCCCUGCGGAUGGAGCUGAGACCAGUCGAAGAUACCAGCUGGCUGCAACUGUUUAUUAAAAACACAGCACUGUGCAAACACGAAAGUGGACGUAUACGGUGUGACGCCUGCCCGGUGCCGGAAGGUUAAUUGAUGGGGUUAUCCGUAAGGAGAAGCUCUUGAUCGAAGCCCCGGUAAACGGCGGCCGUAACUAUAACGGUCCUAAGGUAGCGAAAUUCCUUGUCGGGUAAGUUCCGACCUGCACGAAUGGCGUAAUGAUGGCCAGGCUGUCUCCACCCGAGACUCAGUGAAAUUGAACUCGCUGUGAAGAUGCAGUGUACCCGCGGCAAGACGGAAAGACCCCGUGAACCUUUACUAUAGCUUGACACUGAACAUUGAGCCUUGAUGUGUAGGAUAGGUGGGAGGCUUUGAAGCGUGGACGCCAGUCUGCGUGGAGCCAACCUUGAAAUACCACCCUUUAAUGUUUGAUGUUCUAACGUUGGCCCCUUACCGGGGUUGCGGACAGUGUCUGGUGGGUAGUUUGACUGGGGCGGUCUCCUCCCAAAGCGUAACGGAGGAGCACGAAGGUUAGCUAAUCCUGGUCGGACAUCAGGAGGUUAGUGCAAUGGCAUAAGCUAGCUUGACUGCGAGCGUGACGGCGCGAGCAGGUGCGAAAGCAGGUCAUAGUGAUCCGGUGGUUCUGAAUGGAAGGGCCAUCGCUCAACGGAUAAAAGGUACUCCGGGGAUAACAGGCUGAUACCGCCCAAGAGUUCAUAUCGACGGCGGUGUUUGGCACCUCGAUGUCGGCUCAUCACAUCCUGGGGCUGAAGUAGGUCCCAAGGGUAUGGCUGUUCGCCAUUUAAAGUGGUACGCGAGCUGGGUUUAGAACGUCGUGAGACAGUUCGGUCCCUAUCUGCCGUGGGCGCUGGAGAAUUGAGGGGGGCUGCUCCUAGUACGAGAGGACCGGAGUGGACGCAUCACUGGUGUUCGGGUUGUCAUGCCAAUGGCACUGCCCGGUAGCUAAAUGCGGAAGAGAUAAGUGCUGAAAGCAUCUAAGCACGAAACUUGCCCCGAGAUGAGUUCUCCCUGAGACUUUAAGUCUCCUGAAGGAACGUUGAAGACGACGACGUUGAUAGGCCGGGUGUGUAAGCGCAGCGAUGCGUUGAGCUAACCGGUACUAAUGAACCGUGAGGCUUAACCUU
rnacentral:rRNA from 1 species